rnacentral:tRNA from 1 species
GCCGGCAUAGCUCAGUUGGUAGAGCAGCUCAUUCGUAACGAGCAGGUCAUCGGUUCAAGUCCGAUUGUCGGCUCCA